ensembl:lncRNA
GGGUCCGUUGAGUGGGGUCACUGAGUGGGGUUAAUGAGUGGGAACAUUGGGUAUGGGGUCAUUGGUGUGGGGUCAUUGAGUGGGAACAUUGGGUAAUGGGGUCAUUGGUGUGGGUCAUUGGUGUGGGGUCACAGAAUGGGGUCAUUGAUGUGGGGUCGUAGGGUGUGGGGUCAUUAAUUGGGGCCGUUGAGUGGGGUGAUUGAUGUGGGGUCAUUGGUGUGGGGUCAAUGAGCGGGGGCAGUGGUGUGGGGUCGUUGGGUGUGGGGUCAUUAAUUGGGGCCAUGGUGUGGGGUCGUUGAGUGGGGUCACUGAGUGGGGUUAAUGAGUGGGAACAUUGGGCAUGGGGUCAUUGGUGUGGGGUCAUUGAGUGGGAACAUUGGGAGUGGGGACAGUGGUGUGGGGUCACUGAGUGGGAACAUUGGGUAUGGGGUCAUUGGAGUGGGGUCUUUGGUGUGGGGUCAUUGGUGUGGGGUCAGUGUUGUGGGGUCAUUAAUUGGGGUCACUGAUGUGGGGUCACUGGUGUGGGGUCAUUGUGUUGGAUUAUUGAUGUGGGUCAUCGGUGUGGGGUCACUGAAUGGGGUCACUGUUGUGGGGUCACUGUUGUGGGGUCAGUGUUGUGGGGUCAUUGGUGUGGGGUCAUUGGUGUGGGGUCACUGAAUGGGAUCACUGGUGUGCGGUCAUUGAUGUGGGGUCAUUGGUGUGGGGUCAGUGUUGUGGGGUCAUUAAUUGGGGUCACUGAAUGGGGUCAUUGGUGUGGGGUCACUGAUGUGGGGUCAUUGAGUUGGAUCACUGUUGUGGGGUCAUUGGUGUGAGGUUAUUGUGUGGGGUCACUGAAUGGGGUCAUUGUGUUGGAUUAUUGAUGUGGGUCAUUGGUGUGGGGUCAUUGUGUGGGGUCAGUGUUGUGGGGUCAUUGGUGUGGGGUCAAUGAAUGGGGUCACUGUUGUGGGGUCAUUGAAUGGGAUCACUGGUGUGCGGUCAUUGGUGUGGGGUCAUUGAUGUGGGGUCAUUGGUGUGGGCUCAGUGUUGUGGGGUCAUUAAUUGGGGUCAUUGAUGUGGGGUCAUUGAGUUGAAUCACUGUUGUGGGGUCAUUGGUGUGGGGUCACAGAAUGGGGUGACUGUUGUGGGGUCAUUAGUGUGGGGUCACUGAGUGGGGUCAUUGUUGUGGGGUCACUGAAUGGGGUCACAGAAUGGGGUGACUGUUGUGGGGUCACUGUUGUGGGGUCACUGUUGUGGGGUGACUGUUGUGGGGUCAUUGUUGUGGGGUGACUGUUGUGGGGUCACAGAAUGGGGUCACAGAAUGGGGUCAUUGUUGUGGGGUGACUGUUGUGGGGUGACUGUUGUGGGGUCAUUGUUGUGGGGUCACUGAAUGGGGUCACAGAAUGGGGUCAUUGUUGUGGGGUGACUGUUGUGGGGUGACUGUUGUGGGGUCAUUGUUGUGGGGUCACUGUUGUGGGGUGACUGUUGUGGGGUCACAGAAUGGGGUCAUUGUUGUGGGGUCAUUGUUGUGGGGUGACUGUUGUGGGGUCAUUGUGGGGUCACAGAAUGGGGUCAUUGUUGUG